rnacentral:lncRNA from 1 species
UCACAUUUUUGAGAGUUUAUCCAAUCCGGUUUGCUUCGCAUCGUUUCAAAUUUGGCGGACUGGAUACGUCUGCAUUCACUUGACCAAUCACAGAACCAGACAAAAGAAGAAGUCACUCAGGUUGAAGAAGCGCCCUGAUCCUCAAGACGUUAUCCACCUGCUGCUUCCCCAAACAUAAGCUGACGCAUCCCAGCUACCGAAACGCAAGGAGGUUGUUUCUCAAACUGACGCCACUGCGGUCUGUGGACAAACAGCUACCUUGUAGAAGAGUUGUUGCUCACCUCAGAAGCAAAGAUUAUGUGGAAAAUGUGAUGGAGACCAUCUUCAAUAAAGUCCUGCUGGACUCAGGUUGUUCUAUGGAGGUCCUUGUAAACAUCCCUGUCCCACCGGCCCUCUGAGCAGAAUUUGAGCAACCUGACAGAAAGGAGAGUGGUGUCAAGGAAAACAGCUGCAUCCUCCAUCUGUACAGCAGCUGCACUGCUUCCGAACACGUGAAGACAAAAAAGAUCCUCACAUCUCCCCAGCCAACUGCCCAUGACUGUACCUGUUCCACUCCAGAAACUAUGCUUUCAACAUAACUAUGAAUCCUACCCGUUCAUUUUGUGGUCUGCAAAUUGAACUGUGACGGUAACUUAUCCAGCAUUAUAGUGCUGGUGCAUUGGUUAGGUUCUCACAGGUGGUCUAAGUCCAACAUAGGUGCCUUGUCCCUCAGAAAAUCCAGCUUCCCUGAUCCAGACCAGGGAAGGUGGGAUGACUUGGACUCUUCGCCCUAGAAGUCCACAGCACCAGCUAACAAGACUUCUAGGCUAGAUACCUGCAACAACUUGAGAUACACACAUAGUAUAGAAAAAACAAUAACUACAUUUCUAUUAGUUAUAUAUUAGCACUUGAUAUAUCAUAAACCUUACUAAAAACAAUAAAAAAAUAUUAGGUCAAUAUAUAUUUAGAAAC